rnacentral:rRNA from 1 species
UACGUAGGUGGCGAGCGUUGUCCGGAUUUACUGGGCGUAAAGAGCGCGCAGGCGGUCGUUCAAGUCGCGUGUGAAAGCCCCCGGCUCAACUGGGGAGGGUCACGCGAUACUGAUUGACUCGAAGGCAGGAGAGGGUAGUGGAAUUCCCGGUGUAGUGGUGAAAUGCGUAGAUAUCGGGAGGAACACCAGUGGCGAAGGCGACUACCUGGCCUGUUCUUGACGCUGAGGCGCGAAAGCUAGGGGAGCAAACGGG